rnacentral:rRNA from 1 species
UAGGGAAUCUUCCACAAUGGACGCAAGUCUGAUGGAGCAACGCCGCGUGAGUGAAGAAGGGUUUCGGCUCGUAAAGCUCUGUUGUUAAAGAAGAACGUGGGUAAGAGUAACUGUUUACCCAGUGACGGUAUUUAACCAGAAAGCCACGGCUAACUACGUGCCCA